GUGGUACAAUAACUUGGAGAUAAACCAAACAAACUAUUAUAGCUAAAUCCACCAUGGAGUUAGAGUUUAUAGCUCUGGAAUUGGUUGGUAAUGAGACUGAAUGGUUGAAAAACUUCUUAGCAAAUAUUCCGCUAGGCAUAAAACCAACACCUUCUGUGUUCAUGCACUAUGAUUGCAAAGUGGUAAUAGCCAUUGCAAAGAAUGGGACUUUCAAUGAUAAGAAUAGACAUAUUCGUUUGAGACAUAAUGUGGUUAAGCAGCUGCUAAAGGAUGGAAUUAUUCCCAUCGAGUAUGUAAAGUCAGAAGUGAAUUUGGCCAAUCCUUUGACUAAACCUCUGGGAACAAAAUUAAUAAAUGAAACAUCGAGGGUAAUGGGACUUGAGCCAAUUUAGGAAUUAAUAGUGAUGGAAACCCAACCUUUGUGAUUGGAGAUCUCAUGAAUAAGGUUUAUAUGGGUAAUAACAAGUCACCUGUUAGUUAUGCUAGCACUAUUAAUUUUUUGUCCCUUUCUAUGGUGUGAGAAAUACUAGACUGCAUUAAAUGAGUGGAUGAGUUAAAAGCUCUUAAUGAUAUUUAUAUCCUUAUGGGUGGUAUAUAAAUUGCAGUAGACACCUGAUGAAAUCACCGAUAUGAGUGUGGAAUGGGGCCACUUCUAUGAAAUUAUGGCAUAAUUUCUAGAGCACUCAUGAACUACCAGGCUUGUGCAUGGCCUAUUAGCGCAAAAAAGCCUCAAUUGUGAGAAUUGUGGGGUUGUAAUGUGAUUAAUAGGACUUUAACUUAAAAGGGUUUUUGGUUCACAAAAACUAAAAGUCUCACCAACAACACUGUAUGUUAUGUCACAUCAGUCUAGGUCUGGUUCAUAAUCCAAAAAACACCAGAUCAAAGAAAUUACUCUUAUAUUUUAACCCAAAAAAUUUUUUUAUAAGUCUUUUUGAAAUAUGUGGGGGAUUGUUAGAUAUCUAUGAUAUUUCAAAAUGUAUUAAACUAUAUUUUUAUCAUUAAAUUUUUAUCAAAUCUGCAAAUGGCCAUGUUGACUUAUUCUUUCUCCAACUACUUUGCUCCGCAUUUUCAAAUAUUUUAACAUUAAAAGUGGUUGCUGAUUUGCUCCACUUUUGCUGGCCAUUUGUUCCAUUUUUUGUUAUGUUUUUAAUGUUACAGUGCAAAAGAAUAGGUAGAGUGCAG
rnacentral:misc_RNA from 1 species